UCGUAUGUCGAUUCGUGGAAACUAGUUGAGUUCUCUAUAUAUAUUUAGCUGCUUUUCGGAUAUUACAACCAUGUGAAUGAUUUUUUAAAUCUUAAUUGUUAGAUGAGAUAGAUCCUCUGUUCUUGUUUUGACGCUGGUGCUAAGUGUAUGGAGAUAUGUUGGAUGUGAAUUUGGUUACACCGGUGUCCAGACCAGAUGUAACGUCCAUCCAUCGUUGAGAACUCAGUUCUGUCCAGAUGAGCAGUUUGCUGCUGAAGAAAUUUUAGCGUUUUAUUUGUUCCUUGUCAUAGCCUGAUUGUUAGUUUGUUCUUUACGUUUACUCAGAUAUCUGAGGAAUGUUAGGCUGUUCACCUUAUUAGUCUGAUGACUGCUGCCUGGAGAGUUGACGUAAAUUGGUUGACAUAGAACCUCCAAAAUUAGCUGAUAAUAAAUGAUAGUGACUGAAUUGAGUGUUCUAAGUUUAGCAUAUUAUGGAUUGAGUUCUGGGAACGGAUUUUCUUGGAGAGUAUUAGCUCGUGUGUGUGAGGUUGACACUUCGUGUUCUUGCCGUAUGCUACUAGGGUUUGGGCUGGAAGCUCUCUCAAAAAAAGGAUAGAAGGAAUUUUUUUUCCGCUUACCUCUGUGCUUGGCUCAAUAGAUUACAGUAUACAUCUUGUGGUUUAUAUAGUACCAAAUACCCGUCUCAUCUUAUCUCUGUUACUCCAAACUGUGUGUCAGUUGGAUAACCCAUAUCUCUAGGAUCCUAAAGAGUACAACAGUUUAAAAGGGUUUAUCCUGACUAGCCGAGGGGCUAAUUUGACCAAGAAAUUAGCUUGUCUGGACAGACUGAGUCAAUAUGGCUCGGGCCUAAGUCGUGUGAGUACGACUCUAGUACAGAGAUCAGCUGGUGUGUAUCCAUUAUGCGACCUCAGCAAGUGCACCACUGAAUCACUGAUAGGCGAUUGCUGAUACCCAACAUAGCAAGCAUAUAGCUGAGGUUUUUUGUAACUGAACUCUCGGUUUUGUUCUUAGCUUUUCGUCUUGCUUUCAUGAAUGCAAAGGUGCCCAUUAUGCCUGACGCCUCACAUUGAUAAUGAACUCAUGCAUCCCUGCAAAAUUAUUUGAAGAAUAUGCAGGAUACCUCACAGAACCUGCUUUUCAUAAGGUUUUAGCUGCUUAGCAUAGUGUAUUCAUGAACAGUGAAUAUUUAUUCAUAUUGAAGUGUUUUGUCAUUAAUGCGUGGAACUUACAAUCCCAGUUAUUUCCCAGUUUGUGGCUGAGGAAAUUGGUCCAAGACAUUAAACACUCUUUUAUUGUUAUGCUCUUUCUCCAUCAAUUAUCAUGAUGGAACUUCAGCUGUGAGAAGUUCUGCUUCUGCAUGCUGUUCUGGAUAUAACAUACCCAAAACAAUUAGGUCAUUGGCAAAGAUUACUGUUCUUUUACUAUAUCAGAAUAUUAUAAACAUGGUAAGUUUUUUAAGUAAGAACUGGAUCAUAGCUGUCAGUGUUUAAUUCUUGCAUCUGCUCAUAUCUCAUUUAUGUUAUCUAUAAUUUCAGGUAUAUCUACAACACGUGCUUCUGUUGAUCCUGCUCGCUUACAUGGUUGCAAUCUUUCACCAUCAACAGUACUAGAUUUUGAGAUAAGGAAGCUAUCUGCGGAACAAGCUGACCCCAGAAAGUAGCCUUUUGUUUACAUCACUGGUAUCAUGUUAUGAUUGUAUAGUGUUGCUCAAGAAAUUUACUGUUCUGCUUUUGUGUGUAUACUAUCUCGUAGCCGGCAACUCUUAUAAAAAUGUCAGUUCUUCUUUCUCAUAGGGCACAGGUGUGGAAAAUAAAUUUUGUUCAUCCGUGUCUCCAUUCCAUUUUUUUCAUUGUUCUCAUAGCAAAAGGUGGCUUGGAAACAGGAUAUGCUUGAUUCAGUUUGCUUCGUCCAUAUGUGUAUUCAUUAUAUACAGUAUUCGUCCUGUGCAGUCAAUUGUGAACUUAUUUGUUUCUAGUUUCGACAGUAUUUAUGAUUCUCCGGUAUAAUCUUUGUCCUGCAGACUAGAUUGCAGGAAUAAAUAGUUUUGUUUGACCCAUUGAACCAUAUAUGAAUAUUUCUCUUACUGAAAGUGUAAAUUACAGGUGCUAGCUGAUGGCCGUGUACCCUUGAGCCUGCGAAGCGUUCUCCCGGCUGGCCGGUUUCGUUGACAGCAACUUGUAAAAACCCUCCUGUGCUAUGGUCCUGGUGUUCCCUUAUAAUCAAACUCUGGAACUAGCAAGGCCUACUAGACAUGCCCGUGCCACGAACACCUGCAACGCAAUUCUUGAAGGGUACGAAGAAGAUUCAAGUUCAGCAAUGUGCACCAAGUGGAUGUUUAAGGAAGCAUUCAACUAUUCGAGGGAAAAGAUAAACAUGACAGCAGAUGGCGGCAGUACCAGCAGGAGCCUAAGGCAUGUCGGCCGGCGCAGGCGUAACCGGCUUUGCUGUUCCAGUACCCAAGUACGGUCAAAUGCCCAAUAGUAACAGCGCCCAAGGUUCAGGUGGCACUCCCUAGAGACCGAUAUAGAAACGAACUUGUAAAAUCAGUUCUCUGAUUUCCUUGUACAACCUGCCAGCAUCCAUUGUAGUGUCAGUUUCUUUUCCCUUUUCAGUUCAUGGAUUCAUGCAAGUCCUCAUCGGAUCUUUCUGAUCAUUUCUCCUCCCAUGAUCGUCCUGUACGUUGGCGCUGUGGGGAUUCAACAAUGAAAAUAUGUAAAUCUCUGUUUGA